rnacentral:rRNA from 1 species
UAAAUAGCCCGGCUGGCUUUGGUCGGUCGCCGGCUUCUUAGAGGGACUAUCGGCUCAAGCCGAUGGAAGUUUGAGGCAAUAACAGGUCUGUGAUGCCCUUAGAUAUCCUGGGCUGCACGCGCGCUACACUGACGGAGACAGCGAGUUUUUUUCCUUUGCCGAAAGG